rnacentral:rRNA from 1 species
UGAGGAAUUUUGGACAAUGGGCGAAAGCCUGAUCCAGCAAUGCCGCGUGUGUGAAGAAGGCCUUCGGGUUGUAAAGCACUUUUGUCCGGAAAGAAAUCCUUGGCUCUAAUACAGUCGGGGGAUGACGGUACCGGAAGAAUAAGCACCGGCUAACUACGUGCCAGCAGCCGCGGUAAUACGUAGGGUGCAAGCGUUAAUCGGAAUUACUGGGCGUAAAGCGUGCGCAGGCGGUUUGCUAAGACCGAUGUGAAAUCCCCGGGCUCAACCUGGGAACUGCAUUGGUGACUGGCAGGCUAGAGUAUGGCAGAGGGGGGUAGAAUUCCACGUGUAGCAGUGAAAUGCGUAGAGAUGUGGAGGAAUACCGAUGGCGAAGGCAGCCCCCUGGGCCAAUACUGACGCUCAUGCACGAAAGCGUGGGGAGCAAACAGGAUUAGAUACCCUGGUAGUCCACGCCCUAAAACGAUGUCAACUAGUUGUUGGGGAUUCAUUUCCUUAGUAGCGUAGCUAACGCGUGAAGUUGACCGCCUGGGGAGUACGGUCGCAAGAUUAAAACUCAAAGGAAUUGACGGGGGUCAU